rnacentral:rRNA from 1 species
ACGCUGGCGGCAUGCCUAACACAUGCCAGUCGAACGCGACCUUCGGGUCUAGUGGCGCACGGGUGCGUAACGCGUGGGAACCUGCCCUUAGGUUCGGAAUAACUCCCCGAAAGGGGUGCUAAUACCGGAUAAUGUCUUCGGACCAAAGAUUUAUCGCCUUUGGAUGGGCCCGCGUUGGAUUAGCUAGUUGGUAGGGUAAAAGCCUACCAAGGCGACGAUCCAUAGCUGGUCUGAGAGGAUGAUCAGCCACACUGGGACUGAGACACGGCCCAGACUCCUACGGGAGGCAGCAGUGGGGAAUAUUGGACAAUGGGCGAAAGCCUGAUCCAGCAAUGCCGCGUGAGUGAUGAAGGCCUUAGGGUUGUAAAGCUCUUUUACCCGGGAUGAUAAUGACAGUACCGGGAGAAUAAGCUCCGGCUAACUCCGUG